rnacentral:lncRNA from 1 species
UUUAUAUUGUCCAUUACAUCAGUACUCCAAACAUCAUCCAGAAUGAGUAUAUAGUUUUUACACUGCAAGUAAGUGUGGAUUUCCUCAACCAAACUUCUGUAAUCCAUGGUAUCAAUGUUGUUAGGUACUUCUCUUUUCGCAACCAAGCUUGUGUAAUCCAUGGUAUCAAUGUUGUUAGGUACUUCUCUUUUCUUACGAUCUUCCCUUUGAAACUCUUUUCUGAUUUGUCUAAGCAAAUCAUGAGUCUCAUAGCUUUGAGAUACAGCAACCCAGGCACAAGCAUCAAAGGAAGCUUUGAUGAUA